AUUGAACGCUGGCGGCAGGCCUAACACAUGCAAGUCGAGCGGAGCGGCGGACGGGUGAGUAAUGCCUAGGAAUCUGCCUGGUAGUGGGGGAUAACGUCCGGAAACGGGCGCUAAUACCGCAUACUCUUCGAUGAGCCUAGGUCGGCUUAGCUAGUUGGUGGGGUAAAGUCCUACCAAGGCGACGACCCGUACCCGGUCUGAGAGGAUGAUCAGUCACACUGGAACGUAGACACGGUCCAGACUCCGACGUGAGGCAGCAGGGGGGAAUAUGGGACAAUGGGCGCAAGCCUGAUCCAGCCAUGCCGCUUGUGUGAAGAAGGUCUUCGGAUUGUAAAGCACUUUAAGUUGGGAGGCGUUACCAAGAGAAUAAGCACCGGCUAACUUCGUGCCAGCAGCCGCGGUAAUAG
rnacentral:rRNA from 1 species